rnacentral:rRNA from 1 species
CGGCAGUGAUAAGACAUGCAAGUCGAACGAUCACUAGUGGGUAGCAAUAUUCGCUAGUGGGAGUGGCGCAAGGGUGCGUAACACGUGGUAAUUUGCCAUGAAGUCUGGAAUAACUUGCUGAAAGGCGAGCUAAUACCGGAUGUGAUUACUGGAAGGCAUCUUCUGGUACUUAAAGUCGGGGACCGUAAGGCCUGACACUUCUUGAUAAGCCCGCGGCCUAUCAGCUAGUUGGUGGGGUAACGGCUCACCAAGGCUAAGACGGGUAGCUGGUCUGAGAGGACGACCAGCCUCACUGGAACUGAGACACGGUCCAGACACCUACGGGUGGCAGCAGUCGAGAAUUUUUCUCAAUGGGGGAAAACCCUGAAGGAGCGACGCCGCGUGGGGGAUGAAUGGCUUCGGCCCGUAAACCCCUGUCAUUUGCGAUCAAACCUUACGACCUAACACGUCGUAAGCUGAUAGUAGCGGAAGAGGAAGGGACGGCUAACUCUGUGCCAGCAGCCGCGGU